GAGGGUAUAGCUCAGUGGCAGAGUGCAUGCUUAGCAUGUAUGAGGUCCUGGGUUCAAUCCCCAGUACCUCCA
rnacentral:tRNA from 1 species